UGGGGAAUAUUGCACAAUGGGCGAAAGCCUGAUGCAGCAACGCCGCGUGAGGGACGACGGCCUUCGGGUUGUAAACCUCUUUUAGCAAGGAAGAAGCGAAAGUGACGGUACUUGCAGAAAAAGCGCCGGCUAACUACGUGCCAGCAGCCGCGGUAAUACGUAGGGCGCAAGCGUUAUCCGGAAUUAUUGGGCGUAAAGAGCUCGUAGGCGGUUUGUCGCGUCUGCUGUGAAAACCCGAGGCUCAACCUCGGGCCUGCAGUGGGUACGGGCAGACUAGAGUGCGGUAGGGGAGAUUGGAACUCCUGGUGUAGCGGUGGAAUGCGCAGAUAUCAGGAAGAACACCGAUGGCGAAGGCAGAUCUCUGGGCCGUAACUGACGCUGAGGAGCGAAAGGGUGGGGAGCAAACAGGCUUAGAUACCCUGGUAGUCCACCCGUAAACGUUGGGAACUAGUUGUGGGGUCCAUUCCACGGAUUCCGUGACGCAGCUAACGCAUUAAGUUCCCCGCCUGGGGAGUACGGCCGCAAGGCUAAAACUUAAAGGAAUUGACGGGGUCAUAGCUGUUUCC
rnacentral:rRNA from 1 species